GAAGCUGACCAGACAGUCGCCGCUUCGUCGUCGUCCUCCUUCGGGGGGAGACGGGCGGAGGGGAGGAAAGUCCGGGCUCCAUAGGGCAAGGUGCCAGGUAACGCCUGGGGGGUGUCACAGCCCACGACCAGUGCAACAGAGAGCAAACCGCCGAUGGCCCGCGCAAGCGGGAUCAGGUAAGGGUGAAAGGGUGCGGUAAGAGCGCACCGCGCGGCUGGUAACAGUCCGCGGCACGGUAAACUCCACCCGGAGCAAGGCCAAAUAGGGGUUCAUAAGGUACGGCCCGUACUGAACCCGGGUAGGCUGCUUGAG
rnacentral:RNase_P_RNA from 1 species